rnacentral:rRNA from 1 species
UACGAAGGGGGCUAGCGUUGCUCGGAAUCACUGGGCGUAAAGGGUGCGUAGGCGGCUUCUUAAGUCAGGGGUGAAAUCCUGGAGCUCAACUCCAGAACUGCCUUUGAUACUGAGGAGCUUGAGUCCGGGAGAGGUGAGUGGAACUCCGAGUGUAGAGGUGAAAUUCGUAGAUAUUCGGAAGAACACCAGUGGCGAAGGCGGCUCACUGGCCCGGUACUGACGCUGAGGUGCGAAAGCGUGGGGAGCAAACAGG